rnacentral:rRNA from 1 species
CGGUCUGGUGGCGAGUGGCGAACGGGUGAGUAAUGUAUCGGAACGUGCCCAGUCGUGGGGGAUAACGUAGUGAAAAUUACGCUAAUACCGCAUACGAUCUAUGGAUGAAAGCGGGGGAUCGCAAGACCUCGCGCGAUUGGAGCGGCCGAUAUCAGAUUAGGUAGUUGGUGGGGUAAAGGCCUACCAAGGCGACGAUCCGUAGCUGGUUUGAGAGGACGACCAGCCACACUGGGACUGAGACACGGCCCAGACUCC